rnacentral:rRNA from 1 species
UACGUAGGGGGCAAGCGUUGUCCGGAUUUAUUGGGCGUAAAGAGCGUGUAGGCGGCCAAGCAGGUCCGCUGUGAAAACUCGAGGCUCAACCUCGAGACGUCGGUGGAAACCGUUUGGCUAGAGUCCGGAAGAGGAGAGUGGAAUUCCCGGUGUAGCGGCGAAAUGCGCAGAUAUCGGGAAGAACACCCGUGGCGAAGGCGGCUCUCUGGGACGGUACUGACGCUGAGACGCGAAAGCGUGGGGAGCGAACAGG